AACGUAGGAGACAAACGUUAUCCGGAGUUACUGGGCGUAAAGGGCGUGUAGGUGGUUGCGUAAGUCUGGCGUGAAAUUUUUCGGCUUAACCGGGAAAGGUCGUCGGAUACUGCGUAGCUAGAGGACGGUAGAGGCGUGUGGAAUCCCGGGUGUAGUGGUGAAAUGCGUAGAGAUCCGGAGGAACACCAGUGGCGAAGGCGACACGCUGGGCCGUACCUGACACUGAUGCGCGACAGCAUGGGGAGCAAACAGG
rnacentral:rRNA from 1 species